rnacentral:misc_RNA from 1 species
CUGAGUGAGGGAGCAAUCCCGACCUCCAACCCUUUGUGAACGCAUCAUGUUGCUUCGGGGGCGACCCUGCCGUUCGCGGCAUUCCCCCCGGAGGUAAUCAAAACGCUGCAUUCUUACGUCGGAGUAAAAAGUUAAUUUAAUAAAACUUUCAACAACGG